rnacentral:lncRNA from 1 species
GUACAGAUUGUACCAUACCAUGAGCGAUGAGACAAUUCCCAAAAAACUAACGCAUGUAGCAUGCAGGUACAAUAUCCUCAAACAAAUCCAAACUAUCAUCAAUAAUGUUCAAAGAUUCAAUCGCUGCAAACAUAAUAUCUCUCUUUCCAUCGUGCAAACUUGGUAAACUCAGCCAUCCCUAAACUACCUCCCGAUGCAAUGCUUCCACGGCGUCAGAGGUUCAUUAUCCUCUAGGUUUUAGGGUACAAUUUCUACAUCAUCUUCCUUUGGCGAACAACACUUUGAGAUCAACUUUUCCCAACCAGUGGCACUUAAGAAUUGUCUUCCUCCAGCGGGCACAAGCAAGCUCCGUCGAGCAAUCAGACCAUAUCAAGUAAGUACAAUCUGAAAAGCCUCAGAGGUUCAUUGUCCUCUAGGUUUUAGGGUACAAUUUCUACAUUAUCUUCCUCUGACGAACAACACUUCGAGGUCCACUUCCAACAACCAGUGGCACUUCGGAAUUGUCUUCCUCCAGCGGGCACAAGCCAGCUCCGUCGAGCAAUCAGACCAUAUCAAGUAAGUACAAUCUGCAAAAAAAUAGAUGAGGCAUGUUAAUAGAUCAAUUAUAGUUCAAUUAUGCUCAAGCAACGCUCAUCUAACAAGAUUUCACAUGUUACCUCAGAAGGUUGAUUAUGUAGAAUUCUAUAUGUGUGGGUUCCUAUCUUAAUGGUGUAGCGUUCAUGCUUUUUACUCAGCUAGAGAAGGCUGAUGUCAUGAAUGGUGCAUCCAGUGUAUUCACGUUAAGGUGGUAUACUAUAAAUUAGAAUUAUACUACAACUAUAACAGAAACAAGUGGGAUUGCCUGCUGCGACAUAGAGUAACAUAUAUGGUACGUCAGAUGGUUUUCAUAUUAUAGAUCAGACCUCUUAAGGGAUCAAUAAUACUUCAAUUAUAUUGUUGGCAGUGCUAAUCUUAAAAGAUUAGACAUGUUACCUCACAAGGUUUGUUAUGUAGAAACAAACGAAACUAUGAAGUGUAUUCUACAUUAAGUAAUGCAAUUAUAUAGGUACGGGUUCCUAUCUUAAUGGUUGCACGUUCAUAUCUUAAUGGUUGCAACUUGCACAUUCAUACUUUUAUUCAUCUACAGAAAGUUGAUCCCAUGGAUGUUGGUUCGAGUGUAUUCAUGUUAAAGAUAAUAUACUCUAGAAGACGAGAUCCAUACUACAGCUUCAACAGAAACGAAUGGGGUUGCUUGCUGCAAUAUAGAGAAACAUAUAUAGAUGGUUUUCAUAUUUGACCAACCUCAAAUUCGAUAGUGGGUUCCUGUCGUAAUGCCAGCAGCUACAUCUGAAACAAAAAUUUCAGACCAGCUGUUAAUAAAAUUGUAUUUAUUAAUCUACUAUGAUUUCAUAUAUCUAUUCCAGUCUAAAAAAUCUUCAAUCUUUUUUGUUGUCACACAAUCACUGGGGGCAGUUGCAACAAUAUUUUUCCGUAAUUAUAAAGCUUGCAUGGCAUUAUAUUACUUUACCAAUCAACUUUAAGUUCUUAUACUUUUAGGGCCUGAAAGACUAUGGCACCUACACCAUUGAAUGCAUUGACUACACGAAACGAGACAUGGACAAUCAAAGUUGUAAGACUUUAGGACACAAUUAACUUAUUGACUAAUGAACUCAUUAGCACUGAUUGAUUUUUCUAUAUAAGGUGCAAGUAUUACAUAUAUAAUGUCUCUUUAGUUUUCCUUUACCAAAAUUUGCUAAUGUUUUAUCUCUAUGUAGGGCAAUGUGAUCCAUGCUUCUAUUGGGAGCAAACUGGUCAAUAAAUUUAAAGCAAAAAUUAAAGAGGACUCCAUCUACAUAGCUAAGACCUUCAAAGUCUGGAAGUAUGAAAAAUAUCGACCAUUGAAGAACAAUCUUAAAAUCAGUUUCUUUUUAUACAACAGUGAAGGAAGUGGAUGGAGAAAAAUCCAAGUUUUUAGACUACCACUUUGAAUUUGCUGAUAGUGAUACCUUGUAGAGUAGGGUGAAUAUAGAUAAACAGUGCUUAGGUAUGAACCAAUGUAUCAAAUAGCGGGCUAUGCCAAAUAGCAGCAGUCCUUCACAUCAGCUAUAGUGGGGCUAUAGUUGGCUAUUUCAUAUUAAAGGAAUCUACAAGAGUGCAUGGAAUAUUUUAAAGCGAGCUUCACUUUUGAAGUUGACAACAAACUUGAGAUGGAAUAUUCAAAUGAAAUAGUUGAAGAGGUAUGCACAUGCACAUUUUAGUAUUUUAAAUGGUUUAUGAACUUAUAAAGUCAGUACGUUCUUUAUAGGGCAUACUGGAAAGGUAAGAUACACAGGGUUCUUCAAAUUCUAUUACACAGAAGUCAUAUAAUGAGGUAUUGCCACUAACUAAUGGUUUAGCUAUCACAAGUGUGCACAUUUUUCUUUAAAAUAUUAAAAAAAUAAAAAUUAUCGGGCAACCACUCUUCCAAGACUGCGACAAAAGAUGAGAAGAAAGAUAUGUGCAGAAAGGUAACUUCUAAAUCAUCUAACAAAAAACAACAAUGGAGGACAAAGAGACAGAAGUCUAUCAAAAAUAUGAAAAAGAUGUGUCAAUGUUUGCUUCCAGAAAUAGCAGAAAACCAAUUGUUAAAACUGAAGCUCCUGAUGACAAGGUAACAAAUUGAAAACAUUGUCACCCUGUAUAUGCAUUAAUAGUUUUUACGGUGUAUUUAUUUAUGACAUCACAAACCACACAGGCAGAGGCAAAAACUGUUUCGCAGAAGAUAAAACGAGAGACAAAACGUAAGAGAUGUAAACAGGAUUUGAAAAGAAAGGCUUCGUGAAAUAACAUAAAGUUCUUAUAGAGAAAAAUCUGUUCGAUAGGUAUUCGUUCAAAUUAUUUUCCCUCUUCUGUAUAUAUUAAUACUACUAUUAUUUCAUGAUGCCACCGACAAAAAACUGGAAAAUCUAUUUGACAAGGAGGUACGGAACAUUUGAGCUGCAGGUUCAAAUAUAAUUACCAAAGAGGAUGAUUCAGAUAAAGAUUGCGAACAAAACUAUACACAUGUCAAAAGGACCUACCGACGAGAAACCAUGAAGAGUUGUGAAAAGAAACAAAUCUAGCAGUGAGGUCAAAAGUACAUACUUUCUUGUAUUGUUUUUAAGAUAAACACAAAGUUCCAUUCCGUGUUCUAAUUUGGAUUAGUAUAAAUUAAUAUACCGAUAUAGUACUAAUUUUGAUUGGUAUGUCUGCUCAUACAUAUAAGUAAAUUUUAAAUUUUUCAUGAACUUAUUACUAGCUACUGUGUACUACCUUAUUCAACAGUUAUAGAGCACUUACAAAAAAACAUAUGUUUUUCCGAGAUUAGAAAGAAAAAUUAUGAAAUGUUUACCACUAAAAGUCAUUUCGUUGAUUACAUUAUAUUGUUUCAACCGCACAACCAUAGGAAAAAGAUAAGAAAAAGGGGAUAAAUUACAGAGUCAGAAAAGGAAAAAUAGGGACCUUCAGGUCGAACUUUGAAGAAUGUUACCACUAUGAAGGAUUAGGAUGAUGUGCCGGGCUACCUCGAGCAGAAAUUGAAACGAUGUGUCUGCUUUACGCACUUGUGAAAGAAAACGUAGCCAGCAAUCUCAUACUCAAGCUACAUGCAAGAGGGCUGCAGGUCCGCAGGAGAUGAAAUCAACGACCAAAGAGAUUACACGGACGCCGCCGCCGCCCUUUACAAGCCUAGGCGACCGAAGAGGCGUAGGAGGACAAACACAAG